GUACCGGCGUACAAUACAAAUGGAUUACACCAGACGUUAUUUGCUCUAACCAAUACGCAGGCCUUGCCCUUUGCCGUCUCUCGUCUCGAGCUUCUCGCUCACAACCAAUCACGUUCUUCUGGUCACUAGUUCUUAAUUGAUUUCAGCUGCGUCUCCCCCGCCUCUCCUCAUAAAGGGCCCCCACCGUGUCGGAUGUUAAUCGUUUAUUUUGCGUUGGAUUGCGUGCGCUGAACAAUCCGGACAUCGUGGCCACCGACGUGGACACCCCGCCACGAGACCCACGCACACCGACCACCACACUGGGAAGUGUCCUCUGCUCCCUGUGGAAGCAGCAUGGAAGAACUGCAGCAACUCUGAUGGAAACUACCGGGCCUCCACGCUGUUGAACACAAACUGUAGGCCUACUACAAACAGAGGCGGUCCCACUCGGUUAAAGAUCUCGAGGUCAAUGCGGCAGACCGCUGGACCUGGACGUCACCUUCUGCAGAUACUUCACUGCCCUCAGGAAUCCACGGAUAAGGAGCGGAUUGUACUCCCAGAGGCUUCAACAGAGCGGGUCUGGAGCUGGGAGCUGCAGGUGGAUGGUGGCCAGGAGCCGUUUAGUCCUACAGGAACAGACGGUAGAGGUGAUGGAGGCGGUCGUCUGGAGGUGCUCGUCUGGAGGUCCGUGGCGGUCGUCUGGAGGUGCUCAUCUGGAGGUCCGUGGCGGUCGUCUGGAGGUGCUCGCCGUGAGGUCCAUGGCGGUCGUCUGGAGGCGCUCGCUGCAGGUGGAGGGAAGGCCGGGAGCCGUGCAGCCCAACGGAUGCAGAACGAAGGACUGAGGCGGAGGUCCUGGAGGGAGAGGCCAGCCUGGAGGGAGAGGCUAGCCUGGAGGCGGUGGUGGCCUGGAGGCGUCCAACCUGGAAGGGGAGGCAUGGAGAGCCAGGUGGCGGCUCCUCAUCCAAAGGGCCUGGAGGCGGCCAACCUGGAAGGCCUGGAGACGGUCGAGGUCCUGGAGGCAACGGCGGGCCUGGAGGUGGAGGCCAACCUGGAGGUCCUGGAGUCGGUGGGCCUGGAGGCGGCGGUUGGGUCCAACCUGGAGGGUCCGGCGGCGGCGGC
ensembl:lncRNA